AUCAGGUGUGAGACUGACACAAAGAUAAAAAGGUAAAAAUUCUAAUUCAAGAAAAAGUGACCAGAUAACAAGAUUAAGUUAUAAUUGUGACUCAGUACAUCAAACAUUUGCUUUAUUGGUUGUCAUUGUUCACUGUGACUAAAUUCUUUUUGUUCCAUUGGUGGAAGUUUAACAUCCACCACAGAGAGGAACUACAAGAAAACCCAUUGUUUUCAGAGACACCUGCAAAUGCAGGAAGUGAACUGAUGAUGUUAAUACCAACCAACAACAAAGUUAAGUUGUCAGAAGCUCAGGUGCAGCAGCAGCAGGUGGACGUGGACGAGACAGUCAGAAAGUGCAGAGGACAAGUGGUCAGUACAAUAACCAGUGUUCGGAUUGAUCUACAUCAGCAGUUUGAUCGUGUGACAAUGAAGCUGGUACCAGCCCUUUUCCUCCUGCUGGCUCCACUGUUGACCAGCUGCUCAGAGCUCUACAGACCAGUGGACUGCAGCGACAUCCGUCAACAAGACAACAGCUCACCCAGUGGAGUGUACACCAUCUAUCCUCUUGGAGAAAGGUCAGCUGUCCAGGUAAGCUCCGUCCUGUCUGGGAGACAGGUUAAUGUCUAG
rnacentral:lncRNA from 1 species